CGCCUCGAUUUGCUUUGCACCGACAGACUGGAACUCAACACGCAGCACACAGUUGUUUGUAAUAAGGGCUCACCAUGUCUAUUUCUUAUCUGUUUGGUUCAUUAUUGACAAUCCUGUUAAUUCAAGGCUGUUGGGGUGGAGAAGAAACCAAGAAUGUUAGUUGUGCAAGCCUCCGAACUGGAAAUGCUUACAAAUACUGUGUAAAGGACAAGGAAAAUCCUAAAUGUGUGGAGUGGCAAUCAGUGGAUUCCAAUAAGACGUCUAUGUGGCUUGCUGAACUUUGCCAACACAAAAACACUACACAUGCACCCAAUGUGAUUGAUGUCAGCUACUCCUGCAUCACCCUCCUGGAGUGUGUCAACGUAGACCACACUGCCAUAAGCAAUGUGACUGUGAGUAUGGCUGCAGUUAUCACUGCAGUUUAGGCAAUGUACAGUUAGUUACCUUGUAAACUACAAUACCAAACCAAACAUUCCAGUUGCAUGUUAAUAAUUUGAUAUUGAUGUUAUCAUAUUUCAGGAGCAUUUGACCCAUUUCGUUGUGUUUGGUGCAUCAG
rnacentral:lncRNA from 1 species